AUGGAGGCAAUGAGGAUGGUCACCGCUCCUUCUCUGCGGGACGAGCACCUCGGAUUCCUCGUGCCAGCGCCUUGUGCUCGGCUUUCCGCGCCUCAGCAUCUGCCACAGGGCACGAAAGGACAGCCAGGAAGGCAGUGGGCUUAUAAACAGCACUUCCUCCGUGCUGCUCACUUCUGGUUCUGUGGGGCUGCGAUUGCAGCACCGGAGGAUGUGAGGAAACGCGUGGUUAGGGCUUGUGUGCCUCUCAGCUCAGUUUUACGCAGCCCCGCUGGCUUUGGGGGCAGCAGAAAGCACAAGAGCUUAGGGUGGGAGGGCGUGAGCUGCAGGGCAUAUUUUCUUCAUCAGCCAAGUCCAGCCUGGAUUGCACAUAAAAUCACAUUCUGGUGUUUAAGGUAUGAGGAUUUCUUAUUCGUCUGGAGGAACCAAGGGGUCUGGGACACAGCGGCUCAGAGGAAGGGAGAGCACAUCUCCCAUGGGUGAGAGGGCAGUGAGGACCCAUACAAAGAUAUGUUUCAAUGAAACUGCAGUGGCUCUUCUGUUAACUCAGCCCCUCAGCAGACCAAAUCCAGCUGAACCACAUGCAACAGCACUAAUCUAGUGCCAUUCAUUGUAGCAGUUUUCUGCCGUGAGAGCUAAUUAGUUAGUUUCUGUAAAGACC
rnacentral:lncRNA from 1 species